UUUAUCCACAGAGUAUCCAAUUGAAGACGACCAGAGAAGGAUGUUGAAAUGAAGAACUUUCUUAACACACUGGGAAGUUGGGGAACCUCUCCUUCCAGUCACGAGGUCCUGCCCUGCAGCAACCGACCUGGAAAACCAGACCCCAGCCCCUGCAGCAAUGGGCUCCAGGAUUCAGUGCGUGGUUUCUCCAAUGAAAACUUCAAGUACAGGGGCUUCCCUGGUGGUCCAGUGGUUAAGAAUCUACCUUGCAGUGCAGGGGACACUGGUUCGAUCUCUGGUCCCCAGAUGACCCCACAUGCCACAGAGAAAUUAAGUCUGUACACCGCAAAGACUGAGCCCAGGCAUCCUAGAGCCCAGCGCUCCACAGCAAGAGGAGCCACCAAAGCGGAAAGCCCAACCACCCAACUAGAGCACAGGCCCUGCUCGCUACAAGUGGAGAGAGCCUGCAGGCAGCAAAGAAGACCCAGGGCAGCCAAAAAGAAAUAAAAUUACAUUUAAACAAAAACCCCUUCAAGUACAGUGACUCUCAAUGGCUCCAGUAACUCCUGCUCAAUGUUCUCAGCACACAGGGAGUCUACAGGACUCCCCUGGGGUCUACAGGAACCCCCUCCACCUGUGAAGGCCCAGCAUCUCCAUCGACCACGUGUCUCCACCACUGUGCUGUGCCGUCUCCCCGCUCUCCUCUGCACAGAACUGCUUCUGAUGGUGUCACUCUUUAGGCAGGGGGGUCGUUCUUGUGAAUCAUCUAAGAAUUAAUAUCUCACCUGCAAUUGUAUUUCUAUAUUCCUUAAAAGGAGUUCCUUAAAAUCCCAAUUGUAUUCCUUAAAAGAGCGUUUUAACACAAUCUUGAUUUGAACACCUAUGUUUUUAUUUAUCAACUUUCAUGUCUCCUUCAUUGUGUCCUGUGCUCUGGCUCAGCCUCUCUCUUGGCCUCUGCUCUUGGCCUCUCAGGAAACAGCGUACAGGAUGUAUUAGUUGCAUCCGCCCUCCCCUCUCACUGGCUCUUUUCCAUCCUCCCUCAUCUCCGUGACAUGUGUAACUGUGUGCACAUCACUAUCACCAUGACACCCUCCCUCCCUUGGGAAGCCUGUUAUCACCUUCCUGCUCCUUUCUCUGCUGCCCCGUGUGUGUCCCUGCCUGACACUCACAGCAGCUUCACAGCAGGCGCUCUCCCUCACUCUUCUCUCCAGAGCUCCUGCUGGAAUUUCUGGACACCAUCUCCCAAGUAUUUACCUCUGACUCUGACUUCUCCUUCCCUGGUGGGCCCUGUAGCAUCUUCCCCUGAAUGAAGACCACAGAUAAAACCUAAAUUCUUCUUCUUCCCCAGCUACCUUAGACUCCCCUGUGGAUGUCUCCUUCUCAUCCAGGCUCAGUGAUUCAAUAUCAUCCACGAACCAUUUUUCUAUACUCAACCAUCUAUCUGGCCAUAUUGAUACCAUCUCCAGGGGAGUGGGUGGAGCAAUGAUGGGCAAUGUUGAGAUGGCAG
rnacentral:lncRNA from 1 species